GCGGGUGUAGCUCAGUGGUAGAGUUCCGGCCUUCCAAGCCGGCUGCGAGGGUUCGAUCCCCUUCACCCGCUCCA
rnacentral:tRNA from 2 species